UCUCAUAUCCGCCGCUGGCAACACCACACGCCCUCCAAAAUUGCAGAUAAGUGGAGAUAGAAGAAGGGAUUUGCGGUACCUUCAAAUUGAAAAUUCAGUCUUGUUAAUUCAACAUUUAUUCGAAAUUGAAGCAGAAAGAGGAAGCAUUUGAACUUUGCUUAGUGAAUAUUAUUACUGAGGAGUGAGAAGAAGUGAUGGCCGAAGGUGCAGCACCAGCAAAGGCAGAUGAGCCAGCGCCGCACCCGCUGAAAGAUCAGCUCCCUAAUGUUUCUUACUGCAUUACUAGUCCUCCUCCAUGGCGUUAGAAGAACUGAAGAGAGGCAGAUGAACACUGAAAGCCUCAGCUGAGUUUCUGAGCAGGAAUACCUUGCCUAUGCUGUCUACAACAUCCAAAAAAUUACCAGGGUUAUGUACAAAGAGAAAUCCCAUACUCUAAUGAGGAGUUAGAAGAAACUCGAGAACAAUGGGCAAAGUACUUUAAGGACAAGUAUUUGAUGGAUGCCGCCAAAUGAGUUUGGGGUUGAUCUAGACGUAAUAUAUGUUGUAUAUUUUUGUUUUCUAGUAUAUAUUUAAUGGAUGUUAUGUACGUGCAUUGAAAUAUAUUAUUAUGAUGUUGAAUGCUAGCUGGUUGUAACAUAUAUGGAUGUUGGAGCAUAUAUGUAUGCUAUAUAUAUAUUUUAUACA